CUUCGUGUGUGUGUGUUCAAUUAGCUGCAAUGGGCGGACAGUUUCUGGAGAGAACAUUUACAAUUUUCUUUCAGUAUGACAGGAUUAGUCGCCGUGGAAGGAGCUCCUCCAAUGAAAUCUUGUCUGCUUUCUGAUUUGGCGGUUCUUCCGAGCAAACGCGACAGCCUUUUCUCCUGGCUCUUGCUCUUGUCUGCUUCUCUCCGUGUUAGUCCCCACAGCCCAACUCUCCACCUGCAAUUUCUACAUCAGAACCUUGGUCAUCACCACUACCACCACCACCACCACCCCUAAGUCCCAUUCCUGCGAGUAUGCUUUGGCUACAAAGGUCCUACCAUGGGACGAAUGCAGUAUUGCUGGUUGAUCAUGGAAGACACUUAAACCCAGUUUUUCCAGUUUGGCAUCACAGAUGUUUUCAACUCUUCCGGUCUUAGCAGUGGUAAUGUUAUCCAAAGCCUGAAAACAUUGACUGCUGAUGCAACAGCUCCUGAUGAAAAAUAUGAAAUCAAGGUGCCCCCGAUCUUAUAUGACUCUUAAAAAUGAUACAUACAAUUUCUCUUCUAAAGCAAAGAUGCCUGUCUUUCCUCACAGAAAAUGCAGAACUCCAAGAGUUGCU